AAAGGAGGAAUAACAACAAUACAGUCUUUAUUUGGCAGCCAAAACUCCACAGACCUCAUCCACACCCGAUGCCCGCUAACGGCUCACUUUUAAUGUUUCCUGCUGCUGCUGCUCUGGAGAGGGACCAUUUGACCCGUGUUUGGAAAACAAGCCAAAUCAAAGAGAGGAAAGCCCUUGGAAAGGCCUCAGCUUCUGCGCAGGCGGGGUGGGGUCGCUGGGUCCAGCCCUGGCCAGUUGAGUUUCUAACAAGUGCCUUGCUUCCCUGAUAUCAAUUCUUCAGCUCACUGAGGAGCUGUGGGACACUUUUCAGAGCAUACACGGUGACAUUAUUUCCCCACCAUAGUCUCCAGGAGCUUGCUAAGGGAGUGGAGACGCACUGUGCAGUGAGCUGACAUAAGAGGGUACCUGUAUCUUCCCAUCAUUGGAGGCACCUGAGUUCCCAGCCACUGGUCUACUGGCAAUGGUGGAGUGUAGAGCGAGGUGAGACAAAUCAGGUAAUGUGAGCCAACCUGCCUUUCUGCUGUCCUUGAAGACAGAACAGUCUCUAGAUUGGGGACAGGGACGUGAACUGCUGAGAUCUGGCUUGAUGCUUGCAUGCUGUCACUUCCCCUCUGUAACUUCACUAUUUGUAAAACUCGAGGUUAUACUAACUGACCUUUGAAGUCUCUUCCGACAUUGUAAAAUGAUGUGGUAUUGGGACUCGUGGAUUAAAAUGUCAGCUCUGCUCCUUUCUUGAUAUUUGACAAACAGAUUAGACCCUCAGUUUCUUCAGGUGUAUGUAUUAAAAUAACCCUAUCUUCCUCCUUGCUUAUUCCUAGGAUCUGGGGAGGCUCAAUGGAAGCAGAGGCUUGGGAGCAUCAUCCACACAGCCAAGGCUUCUCCAGAGUAAGCGUCCACAGUGUUGGAAACACGCCGCAGGUGACAUAUUCAUCUCUUCCCACUGUAGCACUUAAAGCACUCCUGGGAAUAUUGGGGAGUAUGGGAAAUGUAGUACUCCUGGGAAUACUGGGGGAGUGUGGCAAGUGUAGUACCCAAGCUGCAGCAACCAGGGAAAACCUGGCAGCGUGGCUGAGGUAGAAUGUUGGGUGGGGGUGGGGCAAAUCUAGGACAGAGGCGGCCCCCACUGCAGUGGGUUUCAGCUGCUUUCCCAGAGACAUUGCUUGCCCACCCUGGGGUUCACCGUUCUUUCACCCUCCUGGUAACGGCUGCCUUGGCUGUUGUGGC
rnacentral:sRNA from 1 species